GAUCGCUUGAUGAAGAUGGACAAUCUCCCUGGGCGGUUGAAUGUAUUCCUGAGGUCACCUAAAGAAUCAACAAUAUUCAAGACCUGCCAACUCAGCUAUCUGUGUAAACCAAUUUGCCUCUGUAUGAAUUAUACUCUGGUGAAUGAAAAAGUUUUUCACAGUAAACUGCCUGCAAAAAUUUCUUCAACAUCCCGGUUAAGCGCCUAUCCCGCAAGUCAGAAUAUUGGGAUCACCCCUGCCAGGGAUUCCCGCAACCUUCCUCCAGCUACGUUUCUGAUGAUCGGCGGCUCCUGGAUCGUGCCGCAAACUACAUUAAGCGCUACUCAGAGUUGUGCCUGCCAUUAGCACAACGUAACAAGGUGCCCAUUAUUAACACUGGAGCCAUCCCCUAGCAUCUACUGUGUCUCCUGUACCAGCACUACCCUAUGAGAAAAGGAUGUUUCUGGAUUUCUGGAAGAUUAUAAAUCUCUUCCAGUGUAGCAGUCUCAUGGGCCUGAUGAAGCACCAAACGUUGUGAUACGGCUGUGGCCCGACCCCUGAUACCCCUCCGUUUCAUCUACUGCCUCCCUGCUGCAUCUCUGCCUGACCGUGAUGUGAUCUACUUCACUAUCUCCGAAUUGCUGGGUACACUGUUGAAAAAAGGUCUUCGGGGUGAAACAUCUGAUGGAAAUAUAAUAAACUAUUAUUAAAGGGGUACUACCGUGCUGACAACUUAUCCCCUAUCUAAAGCACUGAUCCACUGAGGAAGGGGUAUUACUAAUCUGCUUUGAACCCCGAAACGCGUUUGGUGACUGAGAUUGAACCUUUUUUAUUGGUCUAGUUCACACUACAGCUGCGGUUAUACAAGCACUGAUCGGACAGUUACUCUCUGGAGAGAUUUCAUUCACUAUCCAUUUAUUACAUGGUCCGGUAUUCAAAUUCUUCUGCUGAACCGGUGCAGAGCCCUCCAUCAUUGGAUUAAUAUCUCUAUCUGCAUGCAGUACUAUACAACAUCAUCUAGUACCAACUAACCUCCCGCACAAGGUCAGUUGACCUGCUAUCAGCUGACCUGCUACGUCAGACGCCAAGAGUUAACUCGCCGGUGAGAGCGGCUGGAUAUUCUGCGACCAACACUCCGCCCCGGCUAGAGUACACCUGACGCCAAGGGACAGCUCGCCGGUGAGAACGACUGUAUAUCCUGCGACCAUCACGCCGCCCCGGCUAGAGCAUAUUCGCCCAUCGUCCAUCUGUCCACCAGCGGUGCGGUGAGUGGCACAAUCGUGCCAGUGACUUUAUUUCUAUUUGUAGGCCAUUUGGCUGUGGAGUGGAGAAAUCGGCAACAGCGAUUAAAUUGCAAUACCCACUAUCCAAACAAUUCAUAUGUUAUCAUCAUAUACAGUAUACAAUUUUUUGCAGGACAUUGUUUUAGGCCAAUUAUAGGACCCAUCCUACAGGCCAUAAUUCCAUCAUCUACAGGACUGUCACUUUUCAUUUACAGGACUCAUUUUUCUUGUAUUAUCUAUUUUUAUUUUCUCUAUCAAACCAUUUUCUUUCCAGGAGGAACGUUUUAUUUUUAUUUUUAUUUUUGUGCACACUGAAUUUAGUAUCAUUCUGAUCAGAGUAACAUUGUAUAACACAUCAUCACCCAGUGUAUCAUUAUACGGCUGCUAGCCAUAAUAGAUACACUCGCUCUGUAAUGUAACAACUUGUUGCAUUUUAUAUUUAUUACUUUUUUACUAAUUGUGCGCCACUGUAGGGCCCUGCGGGAACGCAUUAUUUAA